GACGAACGCUGGCGGCGUGCCUAAUACAUGCAAGUAGGACGCAGUUGCGAACGGGUGAGUAACGCGUAGGUAACUACCUAUUAGAGGGGGAUAACUAUUGGAAACGAUAGCUAAUACCGCAUACUAGUAGAUGGACCUGCGUUGUAUUAGCUAGUAGGUCGGGUAAUGGCCUACCUAGGCAACGAUACAUAGCCGAGCGGGGAGGGUGAUCGGGCACACGGGGACUGAGGCACGGGCCAGACUCCUACGGGAGGCAGCAGGAGGGAAUCGUCGGCAAUGGGGGGAACCCUGACCGAGCAAAGGCGCGGGAGUGAAGAAGGUUGUCGGAGCGUAAAGCUAUGUUGUUAAGGAAGCGGUACUUAACCAGAAAGGGACGGCUAACUACGUGCCAGCAGCCGCGGUAAUAC
rnacentral:rRNA from 1 species